UACGUAGGAUGCAAGCGUUGUCCGGAUUUAUUGGGCGUAAAGAGUUCGUAGGUGGUUCGUUAAGUCUGGUGUUAAAGACUGGGGCUCAACCCCGGGAAUGCCCUGGAUACUGGCGGACUGGAGUGAAGUAGAGGCAAGCGGAAUUCCCAGUGUAGCGGUGAAAUGCGUAGAUAUUGGGAAGAACACCGGUGGCGUAAGCGGCUUGCUGGGCUUUAACUGACACUGAGGAACGAAAGCUAGGGGAGCGAAUGGG
rnacentral:rRNA from 1 species